ACCUCUUUUUCCCGCUUUUUUCUGAAUUAUUGGGCGUAAAGAGCACGUAGGCGGCCCUACAAGUCAGCUGUGAAAUCCUUCUGCUCAACGGAAGAACGGCAGUUGAUACUAUAGGGCUGGAGUGCGGGAGGGGAGAGUGGAACUUCUGGUGGAGCGGUGAAAUGCGUAGAUAUCAGAAGGAACAUCGGCGGCGAAAGCGACUCUCUGGCCCGUAACUGACGCUGAGGUGCGAAAGCUAGGGGAGCAAACGG
rnacentral:rRNA from 1 species